rnacentral:tRNA from 1 species
GGCCAACUAGCUCAACUGGUCAGAGCAUCGCUUCAAUAUACAUGUGAAUGAUUGAAAAUUACCUUUAAUGCGAAGGUCUUGGGUUCGAUUCCCAAGUUGGCCC